rnacentral:rRNA from 1 species
UACGUAGGGUGCGAGCGUUACUCGGAAUUACUGGGCGUAAAGCGUGCGCAGGCGGUUUUGUAAGCCAGAUGUGAAAUCCCCGGGCUUAACCUGGGAAUGGCAUUUGGGACUGCAAGGCUGGAGUUUGGCAGAGGAGACUGGAAUUCCUGGUGUAGCAGUGAAAUGCGUAGAUAUCAGGAGGAAUACCGAUGGCGAAGGCAGGUCUCUGGGCUAUAACUGACGCUCAUGCACGAAAGCGUGGGGAGCAAACAGG